AUCUUAGCACAUAUGAAGUUAUGAACGCUGCACAGCUGAUCAAGGACACCGGGUACUCUGAUUGACCAGUGAACUUAUACCCACAUUUACGUAAUUCCAUAAAGGACGAGGCUCUAGACUGCCACAAACAGUCUGUAGUUUCUCCAGAGCCAGAAGCCUCAUUACCAAGGAUGUUGUGCCAUGUAAGGACGUUCAUCAGAGUGCAGAGUGUGCUACGUCCACUCCACUCCCGCACCAUGGCUGCCUCCUUGCCCGUGGCCAUCCUACAGGAGGUGGGAGACAAAGGCGUCAUCACCCUCAACAGGCCGAAGGCUCUCAAUGCUCUUAACCACGACAUGAUACAGCUCAUCCACCCGAGGCUCAAGGAGUGGGAGAGUACUAAAAGCAUGGUCAUCAUCAAAGGUAUGGGAGAGAAGGCAUUCUGUGCCGGGGGAGAUGUGCGUGCCAUUGUUGAAACAGCAGGACAACCAAAUGCCAUAGGAGAAUAUUUCUUCCGGGAUGAAUACAUUCUCAACUGCCUCAUUGGGACCCUCCACAUCCCUUACAUUGCUCUCAUUGAUGGCAUUACCAUGGGUGGUGGUGUGGGUCUCUCAGUGCAUGGACAAUACCGGGUGGCCACGGAGCGUACUGUUUUUGCCAUGCCAGAAACAGGGAUCGGCCUCUUUCCUGAUGUUGGUGGCUCCCACUUCUUGCCCAGGCUUGGAGGACGGCUAGGAAUGUUCCUGGCCCUGACUGGCCAUCGUCUGAAGGGCCGGGAUGUGCUUAAAGCUGGGAUUGCCACCCAUGUGUGUGAUGGGGCAAGGAUUGAAGAACUGGAGGAGUCCCUUCUUAGCCUACAGUCUCCUUAUCCAGAGGAUAUUGCUGCUGUCUUGGAAAAGUUUCAUGAGGAGUCAACUUUCAACAAGGGAGAACCAUUCUCACUUCAGUCAGUGCUUCCCAAGAUUCAGUCCUGCUUCACAGGUGCCAGUGUGGAAGAAAUUUUUGGAAACUUGGAGAAGAAUGGGUCUGAGUGGGCAGAGAAGCAGCUUAAAAUUCUUAAGAAGAUGUCACCAACAUCUCUCAAGGUGACCUUUGAACAGCUGGAGCGUGGAACACACCUUACCUUGCAGGAAUGUCUUGCCAUGGAGUACCGCAUUGUGAAACGCAUCUAUAAGGGGCACGAUUUUAGUGAAGGUAUACGAGCAGUCUUAGUGGACCGGGAUAACAAUCCUCAAUGGAAACCCAAGAACCUGGAAGAGGUCACUACUGAAGUGGUGGAGGAGCACUUUGCACCACUUCCUGAAGAAGAGGAACUUGAGCUAUAAAGAUGUAAAAGACACAUCCUAAAUGCAAGGUCUUGAGCGGACUGCUUCAGCUUUAUACGUUCUGAGCAGCAAGGGGCUGGAUCGUUACGGUGAGCGGCCUGCUCAUUCAGACUCGGGGGCUGGCUGUGGGGAAGUGCACACGCUGGUUACACCACCAGAUGCGGCGGCUCAGUAGCCGGACAAUGUAGGCUCGCGACUUGCCCAGUCCCAUGAUGGUGCCAACUUUGUCCUGUAGCGGGCUUCGCUGCAAACCCAAUCACGACGCGAGGGAUGCGGAGUCUAUGCGCUAGAUCCAUGCUGAUCCUGUAGCACCCUGUAAAUAGUUGUAUAUAUAUCUCGCUAAUAAAUCAGUUGCUGUCAGAAUAUCACCGUGUUUGGUUCUCCCUCUCAUGAACUAAGAAGUUGGACUGCCUGGAGUAACACCUGCUACAUUGGUGACCCCUGAGUGAUGCAAGCUGCUCCCUCGCCUCUUGUCACAAUGGAUACACCCUCCACCAACACUCUCGCAGACCCCAACCCAGCCGCAGCCGCACAAGUCAAGCUACCGACCUUCUCUACGAUCGACGCACAUAUCUGGUUCUGGCAAGGAGAAGUACAAUUCCGCCUCAGAAAUGUGAGCAACCCAACCUCAUGGGCAAACCACGUCUUAGCUGCUCUCCCAGACGAACUUUUUCCACGCGUCUUGGAAUGGUUGGAAGCCAAGGGCGAUGCCGCCAUCAAAUACGACGCCCUGGAAACCUACCUACUUCAGCAUUUUACAUCUUCCCCAGCAGCGUGAGUGUCACGGCUCCUCCAGCUCUCACAACCACCGCUUGGCGAUCAGAAACCUGACACCCUCCUCGAGAUGCGACCCCUGGCAAGGCUCCCUCCAGCCACCGAAGGGACGUUUCGACAUCUAGAUCUGCUGCGGGCACUGUGGCUCCUCCGCCUCCCCGAAUCCAUCUGCGCUGCCAUUCCCAACGCAGAGGAAAUCGAUAAGGAUGACCUGCAGCAACAGGUAGACCGCCUAGUCGACGCACUCACGGCUUCAACCCGCCGCAUCAACGCCGUGCCUUCCGACACCCCACCAUCAUUCCAGGAUGAUGAGGUUGAUGUCGCAGCAGCACACCGCUACCACAGAGAACCUGACAAACACCGGCGCAACAGUACCACGCCCCGUGGCCACGAUCAGACCAGCAAGGGCCCAAAAAGAAGUUCACCGAGCAGCUCUGCUACUACCACGCCAAAUUCGGCCCCAAGGCAACAACCUGCCAACCAGGAUGCUCGUGGCCAAAAAACGGGUAAGGCGGCCGCCGUGCAUCGCGGCUGCCCCCAUCGGUGUUAACGCCUUCUUCCUCUCUGAUCCUGCAACGGGGGUGCGUUUCCUAGUCGACACUGGCGCUGCCCGUUCCCUCCUGCUCGCUGCACGAUGGAAGAAGCCCCGUCAACAGGUGUCCAACAUCCAACUCGCCGUGGCCAACGGCACACCUAUACCAACGUACGGCCGUCGGCACCCCGAUAUCAGAAUCAGCGGCCGCACAUUCGGAUGGAGCUUCAUAGUGGCAGACAUCACUCUUCCCCGCCUUGGGGCAGAUUUUCUAGCCCACUACCAGCUCGUCGUGGACGUCGCCAGAUGUCGGCUGGUGGACGCAGCCUUCCUUACCACCACCCCCAUUGCCGCCGCUCCCACCAAGUUCACCCUACAGGUUGUCGAGGUGACUGACGGCUUCGCUCACCUUCGCAACACCUACCCCGAUGUCUUCAAGCCAGAACUCCGACAACAGCCAAAACAUUCGGCAAAACAUGGAAUCUAUCACCAUAUAAAGACAUCAGGCCCCCCAGUGUUCUCCAAAUUUCAUCGUCUGGCCCCUGACAAGCUCGCCGCAGCAAAACAUACCUUCAUCAAGCUCAGUCAAGCCCCUGGGCGUCACCACUUCACAUCGUUACGAAGAAGGACAGCUCCCUCCGCCCCUGUGGUGACUAUAGGCGCCUCAACGCAAGAACAGAGCCAGACCACUACCCGCUGCUUCACAUAGCCGACAUCACCUUCCUCCACGGCGCCAAAAUCUUCUCAAAAUUAGACCUACUGAAGGGCUACUACCAGGUCCCCAUGCACCCGGAGGACAUCCCAAAGACCGCCAUCACCACGCCCUUUGGUACUUUCACAUUUAAUUACAGCUGUUUUGGCCUCCGAAACUCUGGCGUCACCUUCCAACGGAUGAUGGACGGAAUCCUCGGCGACUUACCUUUCUGUGCCUGCUACAUCGACGACAUCCGCAUAUUUUCUUCAUCAAAAGAACACCUUCGACAUCUCUCAGAAGUACUGGGGUGCCCUCAGGAGAAUGGCCUGGUGGUACGCUACGAUAAGCGUGUAGUCGGCGCCAGAGAGGUGGACUUCUUAGGGCACCAUCUCUCUCCUUCAGGCGUUUCACCCCUACCAGACAAGGUGACUACAAUCUGAAGAUUCCCCACGCCCACCACAGUCAAGGCCCUCCAAGAAUUCGUGGGAAUGGUCAACUUUUCACCGCUUCCUCCCCAGGAUCGCUUCCACCAUGGCGCCACUAUAUGCAGUACUAGCAGGCAAACCCAAGGACCUGACAUGGGGCCCUUCUCAAGCAGACGCUUUCCAGAAAGCAAAAGACCCCCUCGCCGUGGCAACCGUCCUUGCUUUUCCAGUUCCUGGGAAGCCAAUCGUCACCACGGACGCAAGCAACAUCGCCAUUGGCGCUGUUUUGGAACAAAUCACCCAUGGCUAGCCACGCCCUUUGAGUUUCUUCAGCCGCAAACUCCUUAAGGCUGAAAGGCACUACUCCGCCUUCGACAGAGAACUUCUCGCCGUCCACCAAGCCGUCCGCCACUUCCUGGAGGGUGCAACCUUCACCAUCCAGACCGACCACAUGCCCAUGGUUCACGCCUUUACUAGACAGACGGACGCCUGGUCUCCACAACAGCGCCGGCACCUCUCAGCCAUCUCUGAGUUCAACUGCACCUUCAGACACCUUCCAAGCAGGAAGAACCCUGUAGCCGACGCCCUCUCCAGAGUCGAGAUAGACGCAGUUCAACUGGGAUUCAACUACAACCUCCUUGCCCAGGAGCAGCAACGGAACCCCGAGACGACAGCAGCAUGGCCCUAAAGUGGAAGGACGUUCCCCUGGGUGUUUCCGGUACCACCAUCCUCUGCGACGUCAGCAACGGGCGACCACGCCCAUGGAUACCAGCAUCCCUUCGCCGUCACGUUUUCGACCUGGUCCACGACCUGUUACAUCCUUCAGGACGAGCGACAAUACAACUGCUAACUCAAACGUUCGUAUGGCACGGCAUCUCCCACGAUGCGGGGAACUGGGUUCGGUCCUGCUCUUCCUGCCAGAAAUCCAAAGUCCACCGACACACUGAGACUCAGAAAUAAAGUAAUUGAUUACCUUUUCAAUUACGGGUAAGGCAAAAAAAGCUUCACUUAUUAAUUUAUGUACCUAAUAGCCAGCAAAACUAUAAAAUCGAGCCUCUGUAAGGUCCAGUGGUAUCUAACCUAUAGGCUACUCUCCUUUAUUUUUUAUUUUAGGUCUGCUUGAAAACUUAUUCGUUUGAAUAUAUGAUGAUUUACCAUCAUUAUUUACAACAAAAGGAAUUUAAGUUUAAACAAUUAUUGUGGCCCAAGGAUUAGCCCCAGGUCAUACUUUUAAUUAGUACGAAAUUAAUAUUAUUACUUUCUUUUUCUCAGAUUCUCGACCUUUGCUACUUGCUAUGCCACCAAAGCGUGUUCGGUUAAGUGGAAGCGCAUACAAAAAGAUGAGAAAGAAGCGAAAGAUGGAAGAUGAGGAGCUUGCUGGUUCAUUAAACACCUUCAUUGUGAAGACUAAAAAGAGUGAAACUUGUGUUCUAAAUGAAGAUCUCGUGAGUGAAUGUGAAGAUACAGAGGAAAAGGAGUCUAGGGAUUUAUUUGAGGAGUCUGAGUCUGAGCCUGAUAAGGAAGAGAUCAGGAAGUGAUCGGGAGGCUGAGGAGUGUAAGGAAGAACCUAAUUGUGAGGGAAGAGCAGGACUUGAGUAUAUUCAGAGAAGCGACUUUGGAUUGAUUCCAUUUGGCCACUUGACAUCUGAUGUCCGUGAUACUCUUGUUUCUAUUGGAGCUGAAAAAGUUCAGUAUUCAAAAGGGCCCUUUGUUACUGGAAGUAAGGGUAGAAAAAUGACUGAGGCAUAUGGUUCUACAGGAAACUUGCAGAUGGUAAAGGUGAAAUUGUGAAGAGAAUCUGUCUGCUCUACUCACCAGCCAAAGAAGCAACAUACUGUUUUUGCUGUGUUCUGUUUCCACAUACUCCACAGAAUGCAAUUUCCAAGUUCGAGUCACCGGAAGGAUUUAAUGGUGGAGGGAAGUGGAAGGACAGUAGUACUCCUAUUGCUGUACAUGAGAUUACAACCUGGCACUGAAAAGCCUUCCUUGCAUGGAAAGAGGCAGAGGAAUGCCUUAGGGAGGAGAAGGGUUAUGAUAAGGAAUUUGCUAUAGGCAAUUGAAUGCUGAGAGAUACAAAGGAAGACAGAUACUGUUGCGAAUUAUUUCCUGUACAGGUAACUCUCGAUUUACGCGAGUAUUGUGUCCUUGAAGAGGUCGCGUAAAUCAAAAACAAUGUUAAUCAAACAAGAGGUAGGUUUCUAUCAAAAAAUAAAUAUUCACUUCAUUCAGUGGAGAGAGAGAGAGAGAGAGAGAGAGAGAGAGAGAGAGAGAGAGAAUAUCCAUAUCACCCAGAUAUCCACUCAGGCACUCGGUCUCAGCCUCACUCGUGUGAGGAAGAAAUGAGGGACACCAUGAGCGACUGGCUAGUAUUGGUACCGGUACCGAGCAGUCUGAUACCGGUACCGUACCGUAUAGCUGGUACCAUUAGUACCGGUACUGGUACCAGUACCUGCCCACCCCUAUUGUUGAGUAGCGUGGCAGCAUGGGUACUGUAUUGUUGUUCAAGUAGCGUGCGGGAAGAACUGAGCUUAGCUGUGUGGCCGCAGCACCGUGUGAGUCCAGUUGCGUGAGACAUCUGGUGGCCACUCCAUAAAAUAUUGCAUAUAAGUGAAAAAAUGUGUAAAUUAAACAUUUAUUUGGAUUUUGCACCCCGCGUUAUUUAAAAAACGCGUAAACCAAACUUGCGUAAAUCUUGGCUUCCAGAAAUUUGGCGUUCCAAGGAAGCAUUGACUAUAUUGGCACAGUUGACACAUCAGAUAUGAAAAGAGAAGGGAAUUUCAUGGCACUAAUAUGAUUCAUUGCUGACUCUGAUCCAGUUCUCCAAAAACACUUGGAUAAAAACAAAGAUGGGGCUAAAGGAAGGGCUAUUUACUUAUCUCCAGUGAUACAAAAUGAAUGCAUUGCCUUGCUGGCUAAAGCCAUACGAGAAAAACUUGUGGCAGAUGUUAAGGAGAGCAAAUAUUAUGGUGUCAUGUGUGACUACUCCAGAUAUCUCACACCAGGAUCAACAUUCCUUAGUUGUACGCUAUGUAGUUCUGAAAGAAGGACAAUUUGCUGUGAAACAAACAUUUCUAGGGUGCAUGAAGCUUGAGGGGUAAAAUGCUGAAACCAUUGAGGAAGGAAUUCGUAGUGGCCUGGAGUCCUUUGGUUUAGACUUCAACAAUUGCAGGGCUGUUUGUUUUGAUAAUGCCAGUGUCAUGGUUGGGAAACACACAGGUGUUCAACGUCGACUAUGUGAAAAACUCAAAAAUUGUGUUUAUUAACUUUAACAAUCAUAGUCUCAACUUGGCAGAUGCAGUUAAAGCUGAUGUGGGUUCAAUGACCUUUUUCAAUGUGCUUAACGAAGUUUUCAAUUUCUUCAGCCGAAGCACAGGAAGGUGGGAUGCAAUGAAGAAAAUUACUGCUACAACUCUGAAGAGUAGCACUAACCCAAUGGAGCUCUAGGGCAGAUGCCACCCAUGCCCUUGAGACUGAAUUGGAUGGAGUGCUGGGGGCCCUAGAAAAUAUAUCUUCAUCAGAAAAUUUCACAGCUGAGUCACGGGCAGACAGUGAGGCACUUUUGAAAGGAAUUCUUAAUUUUAAAUUCUUGGCACUUCUUUCAUUCUGGACCCCAGUUUUGAGAAAGAUGGAUAUUGUUAAAAAACGCCUCCAGUGUCCUGAGAUGACUUUUUAGGAUGCUCAUGAAGCCCUUGAAGCAUUAACCACAUGGUUACAAGAGAACCGGGAUAUCAGUGCCCAUGAAGCAGUCACCAAAAGCAUAGAACUGUGCAACAAGUGGGAGGUAGAAAUCGAAAUUAAACGAGUGCGCCGAAAAAAAGUGUAUGCCUGGAGAAUUGGCCAGGGAUGAACCACUCACCCCUCAGCUUGACAUGAAGCGAAAACUUUUUGUAGCAGUUGAUCGACUUGUUGAAGAAGUGCAGUCAAGAAGUGCUCGACUUCGGGAGAUAGAUGGCCAUUUUGGAGUUCUGCGCCCUAAAGUUAUUUUGUAAGAAUGAACAAGAAAUUGACACAGUUUGCAAGGACGUGGCCCAAAAAUAAUAUGAAGACAUCAGCUUCAGAGCUCUGUCAAGAAGUGCAAGAUUUAAAGUUCCUAGUGAAGAAGAGAAUUCCAGAAACGGCUCCAGAACGCCUUGUCUUCAUUAAGAAAUAUGGUGAAGGAUUCGCUAACUUUCGUGUUGCACUGAGGCUUUGACUGACUGGGGAUAUCAGUUGCCUCUUGUGAAGGGUCUUUCAGCAAACUGAAGCUCAUCAAGACAUACCUGAGGAGUUCCAUGGGCCAAGAUAGACUGCCAGAUCUCCUGCAGUUCCCUCCUUCGCUCCUACCCCAGGUGGGAGGGCUUGCCCAUAAGGUCACUCAGCACGUCAGAGUUACUGAGGCGUGCGUCUGCUUCGUUGAGCGAGAAGUCCUCCAUUACUCUACUUUCAGUCUGUCCAGCUAGGCAUUCCCUCAUCGUCAGCCGUGGUUACCGCCACUUCUGCCACCUCACUUUCAUAUCUCUUAAGGAGAUUUAUAUGAACCAUCUUCAUCUCAUUUCUCCUGCCGGGGGUGGACAAAACAUAGUUAACUGCCCCAGACUUCCUGACGAUAUGAAAAAGGCCCCGAUACCUAGCCUGCAGAGGUAUUUUUACAGGAUUAAACAAUAAUACAUUGUCUCCUGGCUCAAAGGUUCUCUCUACUGCUCUCUAAUCAUAAGUUAUCUUCAUCUUUGCCUGGACUGUUUCUAGGUUUUCCGACACUUAUCGCCGGGCACACUCCUCAUUUCCUUUCCUCAUUUUGACUACGUACUCAGCAAGCUUCUCAGUCUCCCCUUCUUCCAUGCACACCUCGUACAAGAUCAUGAGGUUCUCCCUUGGCUUAAUGAUCCUACCGAACAUUAACUCGAACGGGGAGUAACCCAUGCAGUCUCUCCUGCUUCACGGAGCGAAUCACAUAGAGAGCGAUCUGAAUACCCUCAUCCCAGUUUCGAUCGUUCUCAAAGGCAUACCUAAUGAGGACGCUCUUAAGGGUCCUAUGGAACCUUUCGAGGCAUCCUCAACUCUGGGGAUGGUAAAGGGAUGAAGCAACAUGUUUAAUUCCCAUUUUAGACAUGGUCUGCUUGAAGAGCCCUCCCAUGAAGUUACUUCCCUGGUCAGUCUGAACCACCCUAGGGACCCCGAACUUACUGAAUACGUCCAUCAACCUGGGAAUCAGCUUACGAGACACAGUACUUGACACAGGUAUAGCAUCUGGGUAUCUGGUUGCCCUACACAUCAGUGUGAGAAGAAUCUCAUUUCCAGCUCUCGAUCGUCCGUGGCAAUGGGCCUACCACGUCAACUACUAUAUUUGAAAAGGGCUCCUCCACAACAGGAAUGGGAUGAAGAGGCACUGGUUUAGGAGAACUACUUCCUACCAAUUGCCACUUCCUACACCUUCUCCAAAAUGCUCUAAUAUCCCCCAACAUUCCCGGCCCCCCAAAAAUAGUUCACCACAGAAUCACCUGUUUUUCUGGGCCCAGAUUCACUUACGCCUUGCAGAUACAACAAUCUUAAGUGGAUCCAAUAUGGCGGAGAUAAGAAUGUCAUAUCUUGAGACUCACAAAAAAAUGUAAAGUCCGUCAUGUUUAGACUUUCCUGCCUUAACGCUGUUUCACACUCCCGCCGACAGACGGCAUAGUGUGUUGUUGACAUUUUUCGUUCAACCAAUGGCAGUGCUCGAUAUACAUACGUACUCUAGAGACAGUAGCCAAUCACAGGAACCACAACGCCUGUGCAGCACGUGGCCCAGUGACAGAGACAGGCACUGUCUGUGACAGAGGCAGGCGAUGUUGUCUGCCCCACCGUGAGUAUGGAAGUGAGGAAGUUCAAGUAAGCCAAUCACUUGUCAUGCGGAGACUGAGUGUCACCUGAAAGUAUAACGGGUGCUACAACACCUAGCAGCCCAUAUGUCCCAGCAGUGGUGCAGCGUCGGACCCUCAAAAUUCCAAGCAGGAGACACAAGAUGGACACAAGAUAAAAGAUUCCGAAGAAGCAAGACCAAGCACAUAUUACUGGAUAGUUUGCAGAAAUGUGUAGAUUUCCUUGAAUAGUUGCAAUCAGAAUGACUGCAAUGGCUGGAGCUUUUCAGGAUUUUGUUGAAUAAUACAGAGCAUUAAAUUAUGUAUUUCUUAUGCAUCGCUAAAGGUCUCUUUUGCUUUCUUCAAACAUGUUUUGUGUUUUUAAUUUAUUUAAUUGCUUUUUAUAGGAAAUAACAUAUUAAAAUGUUGAAUAGCAGGCUGUGAAGAAUUGCUCCAAAUAGUACACACACCACAGGUGCUAUAUGUUUUACAUGUUAUUAAGUGUAUAAUAAGCUCAGCCACAUUGUCCUGCAGUUAUUUUUUAAAGAGUCAGAUAAUUUUUUCCCUUAUCUUACAAUUUAAGUUGUGAUUGUGUUCAUGUACACCAGCAGUUCUUUCUUUAAUUAUAUUAGUAAAGAAGUUGUUAUUAUAUAUAUGAAGUCAGAUUAAGUGAUUUUCAAAAGCAUUAUAAUUAAGUUCAUUUAGCCUGUGUCACUCAAAUUUAUACGCCUCCGUGGUCUAAUGGUUAGCGUGCCUGGCUUCUACUCCGCAGGCCCGGGCAGUCAGCGUGCAGCUCUCCCAGCUGUUCAUCCUCCCUCUUGGGCUGGUCGAUAAAUGGGUACCUGGGGAAACCUGGGGAAGGUAAACUGUGGUAACCCGGAUGUCACACUGGCCCUGUGUCCUGGGGUAUGGGCUCCCUCCCACCACAGGCUCAAGGGCCAAUGUUACGGAGAUGAGUGUAUGCCCCCAACUUUACUAUGUUUACUCUCAAAGUAUAUAAUUGUGUGUUUGCGAGUGUGUGUGUCACAUCCUGGAAAGCCCAAAACUUCUCUCAAAACUGAUGACUCGAGAAAGAGCUUGGCUUCCAGCUAUUUCUUUAGAGCCAGCAGUCAUGGUGGAAAUUUUCUAGGUAGAGCGGAAUGUGUUUUGACAGUGGGCAGUGCCAUUGUCUCUGAAGAACCCCAACGAGUUCUUAACGAAACACACCCAUACACCAAUUGGCUUGAUGAUUUCCUGUAUUUUUUUGCCAGUACACUAUUUAACACAUUUAAAUAUUUAAUAAUGUAUUUAUUAAUGCCCACUUUCUCAUUAUGUUCUCAACUUGUGCCAGCAACAUAUGAGUCAGUACUUAAGUAAGGUUAGGUUACAUAAAUGAAAAAAGUGCAUAUUUGAGUUAAAAACAGAAACAUUAUUUACUUGUCAGUACCAAAAAAUAACUUGAAUUUCAAGGUGAGAAAGAUUUUUUUAUAGUUUAUGGACAAAGAACCUUUAUUUUCUAGUUUUAAUGUUAUGCUAUGAGUAGAAAAUGAAGUAAUUAGGUAUUUUUCACUUAACCUUUUUGCAUGAAAUAAGUAUCAAUAUAUAUAAAUAUUUUACCUCAACCUAAAAUCAUAAAAUACUUUCUCAAUUAUAGUAGCUAUGAAACUAUGAGUGGGAAUAGAACUGGAUGAUGAAUCAAACCUUGACAGGUGUUACUAGGUUGCAAUUUACAAGCAAUAGGUUACCAUGUGAUGGAGAUGAGCACCAAGGCCACACACAGCUAUGUGUAUGCCCCCAUCUUCACCCUACCUUUACUAGACACAUCAUCUAUAACACCCCUAAAUUACCAAAAUAUUCAACAAACAUAUUGCAUGUUGCAAAAAUGGGUAAUUGCUUAGCAGGAGCAGUCUAUAUGAGAUGCACAUUACUAAUUUCUUGUGGUACGUUAUGAUGCUUUUUAAUGGGGAUCUGUUUAAUACUAUGAUUCAGCUAUGAAAGUGCUGGUAUUAUUCUAGUGUUUGCCCAUACUCACCCCUCGCAACCAAAAUUGGCUAGGGGGCCAUUGAGACUUCGGGGAAUGCGGUGGUAAACAUGAAAUGCGUCGCAAAUGCAUAGUUUUUGAGUUAUGAGGGGUUGAAAAAUACCCUUAAUGUAGGGAAAUUCCUUACAAUUACUUAAAUGUAGGGAAAUUUCAUACAUUCCGUUUUUUUUUUUUUUUACAACGUACGGAAACCACGCAAGGUAAUUAUUGAAAAUCACUCCGCACCUUGAAAAUACGAUAUUACGCCUCCAUAUUGUACUUAAGGGCAUAUUAUACAUACGGACGAUGUGUUUGCAUGGCAACGCCAUUGCAAUAUGAGCAGCGUUGCCAAUGAUCCGGUUAGAUAUGAUACGCUAGGUGAGACCAGGUCCACCACGCGUGGUUAUUUAUUUAUUUUUUUUUUUUUUUGGAACACGCACCUUUACCUAAUACUAUUUCUGAUGGUACGCUAGGUUAGCGAUGGUACGCUUUGUUAGCCAUUAGCCCACGCAUGUGAGACCAGGUCCACCACGCGUGAUUAUUUUUUUUUAGAACACGCACCUUUACCUAAUACUAUUACCGAUGGUACGCUUUUUUUUUUUUUACGUUGUUGCCUAUUGCGCCGGUAGGCAUCUUCCCGGUGGGGCCUGAUGGUCGGCCCAAGGCUUCUUCCCGGUGGGGCCUGAUGGUCGGCCCAGCCCGUUCUGGCGCAGGCGAGUGUUUAUAGUGGCGCCAUCUUGCUUGGUUAGCGAUGGUAUGCUUAGUUAGUCAUUAGCCCACGCAUGUGAGACCAGGUCCACCACGCGUGGUUAUUUAUUUUUUUUAGAAUACGCACCUUUACCUAAUUACCGAUGGUACGCUUGGUUAGUGAUGGUACGCUUAGUUAGCCAUUAGCCCACGCAUGCGAGACCAGGUCGUAAAGUUCAGUUGGAGUAGUUUAAAUAUGCUCCCCCACCCAAAUACCCCGAGUUCACGCAGGUCCCCCAAGAUCGUUGGGGGAAGGGGAUUAAUUCGGCUUCCUUACUUUUAAGUUUUUUUUUUUUUUUUUUUUUUUUUUUUACUAUGAUAUAUGGAGGCGUAUUAUCGUAUUCUGGAGGCGCGGAGUCAAUAUCCACAAUCACCUUGUAUACUGGGAAUACGAGCCCGUGAAGCAGAUUCAAAAUCCGGUCAGUAAGGAUUCACGUGUUCGAACAGCUCGGGCAAGAGGUUCGAGAGCCUGCACUUCCUGCACAAGCCGCAGUAGUGUUAAAGGCGCGGUGUUGGAUGGAUCCCGGCUAGCCGGUGGUUUUACUUGUGUCAGUGAUAAACGAUGAAGAUACACUGUGUUUGGUGCCACGGACUCUACUUGGAGGACAGAAACCUACUAGUGAGAGGGCAUAUGAGUGGUGGAGGCGUUUAUGUGAGCACAGAAGGCCGCUGGUGCCACGCCAGAUGGUGAGGUGAGCAUCGUUUGGUGGGUUCACGACACUUCUCUCCCAAAACAAGCUUGGGGAUCCACUGAGUGCGUGGUUUUCGUAUGGGAAACACUAAAUUCGUCGCAAACGCUUAUUUUAGUGGUGGUGGGAGGAAAAAUUACCUAAAUUUAGGGAAUUUCCCUAGAUCUAGGGAGUUCCCCCCCCCCCCCACACACUAAAAAAAAUACACGAAUGCGACGGAUUUCGUGUCCCCCACCCGAAACCCCGCAUUCCCACCAGGUCCCCAGGCUUGUAUGGGGGGGAGGGGGGAGUAUGGGCAAACACUAGAAUGUUACCUAACUGACUCCUGAAAAAGACAUGAUAGUUUACCCAAUAAUGGAUAGUCUGUGUCUCUAAAAUAGGUCGGUAAAAUCUGCUAAACAAUAGCAGGGGGACAGCCAGAAAUGUAUUCAGGGAGAUUGGAGUCAUCAAAACUGAUGACUCGAGAAAGAGCUUGGCUUCCAGCUAUUUCUUUAGAGCCAGCAGUCAUGGUGGAAAUUUUCUAGGUAGAGCGGAAUGUGUUUUGACAGUGGGCAGUGCCAUUGUCUCUGAAGAACCCCAACGAGUUCUUAACGAAACACACCCAUACACCAAUUGGCUUGAUGAUUUCCUGUAUUUUUUUGCCAGUACACUAUUUAACACAUUUAAAUAUUUAAUAAUGUAUUUAUUAAUGCCCACUUUCUCAUUAUGUUCUCAACUUGUGCCAGCAACAUAUGAGUCAGUACUUAAGUAAGGUUAGGUUACAUAAAUGAAAAAAGUGCAUAUUUGAGUUAAAAACAGAAACAUUAUUUACUUGUCAGUACCAAAAAAUAACUUGAAUUUCAAGGUGAGAAAGAUUUUUUUAUAGUUUAUGGACAAAGAACCUUUAUUUUCUAGUUUUAAUGUUAUGCUAUGAGUAGAAAAUGAAGUAAU